AUCAACGCUGGCGGCGUGCCUCAGGACAUGCAAGUCGAACGAUUAAGACUUCCUUCGGGAAGUGCAUAAAGUGGCGCACGGGUGAGUAACACGUAGGUAAUGUACCGUAGGGUGGGGAAUAACUUAGGGAAACUUAAGCUAAUACCGCAUAAUGCAGCAGCUCGACAUCGAGACAGUUGUUAAGGAGCAAUCCGCCUUAUGAGCAGCCUGCGGCAGAUUAGCUAGUUGGUAAGGUAAUGGCUUACCAAGGCUACGAUCUGUAACCGACCUGAGAGGGUGGUCGGUCACACUGACACUGAAUAACGGUCAGACUCCUACGGGAGGCAGCAGUCGGGAAUUUUGGGCAAUGGGCGAAAGCCUGACCCAGCAACGCCGCGUGAAGGAUGAAGUAUUUCGGUAUGUAAACUUCGUAAGAAUAGGAAGAAUAAAUGACGGUACUAUUUGUAAGGUCCGGCUAACUACGUGCCAGCAGCCGCGGUAAUACGUAGGGACCAAGCGUUGUUCGGAUUUACUGGGCGUAAAGGGCGCGUAGGCGGCGUGGUAAGUCAGCUGUGAAAUCUCCGAGCUAACUCGGAACGGUCAGCUGAUACUGCUGUGCUAGAGUACAGAAAGGGCAAUCGGAAUUCUGGUGUAGCGGUGAAAUGGCGUAGAUAUCAAGAGGAACACCUGAGGCGAAGGCGGGGUUGCUAGGCUGAUACUGACGCUGAAGCGCGAAAGCUAGGGUAGCAAACGGGAUUAGAAUACCCCGGUAGUCCUAGCCCUAAACGAUGAAUGCUUGGUGUCUGGAGUUUUAAAUCUCCGGGUGCCGUCGCUAACGCUUUUAGCAUUUCCGCCUGGGGAGAGUACGCACGCAAGUGUGAAACUCAAAGGAAUUGACGGGGACCCGCACAAGCGGUGGAGCAUGUGGUUUAAUUCGACGCAAACGCGAAGAACCUUACCUGGACUAGAAUGUGAGGAAAACGAGAUGUAAUGUCUCGGUGGGGGCAAUCCCGUCCAAAACAAGAUGCUGCGUGGCUGUCGUCAGCUCGUGUCGUGAGAUGUUGGGUUAAGUCCCGCAACGAGCGCAACCCCUAUCAACAGUUGCCAUCAUUAAGUUGGGAACUCUGUUGAGACUGCCGUUGAUAAAACGGAGGAAGGUGGGGAUGACGUCAAGUCAUCAUGGCUUUUAUGUUCAGGGGCUACACACGUGCUACAAUGGACGGUACAAACCGUUGCAAUCCCGCGAGGGGGAGCUAAUCGGAAAAAGCCGUUCUUCAGUUCGGAUUGUAGUCUGCAACUCGACUACAUGAAGUUGGAAUCGCUAGUAAUCGCAGAUCAGCACGCUGCGGUGAAUACGUUCCCGGGUCUUGUACACACCGCCCGUCACAUCACGAAAGUGGAUUGUACUAGAAGUAGCUGGGCUAACUCGCAAGAGAGGCAAGUUACUACGGUAUGAUUCAUGAUUGGGGUG
rnacentral:rRNA from 1 species